GACGAACGCUGGCGGCGUGCUUAACACAUGCAAGUCGAACGGAAAGGCCCUGCUUUUGUGGGGUGCUCGAGUGGCGAACGGGUGAGUAACACGUGAGUAACCUGCCCUUGACUUUGGGAUAACUUCAGGAAACUGGGGCUAAUACCGGAUAGGAGCUCCUGCUGCAUGGUGGGGGUUGGAAAGUUUCGGCGGUUGGGGAUGGACUCGCGGCUUAUCAGCUUGUUGGGGGGGUAGUGGCUUACCAAGGCUUUGACGGGUAGCCCGCCUGAGAGGGUGAACGGCCACAUUGGGACUGAGAUACGGCCCAGACUCCUACGGGAGGCAGCAGUGGGGAAUAUUGCACAAUGGGCGGAAGCCUGAUGCAGCAACGCCGCGUGCGGGAUGACGGCCUUCGGGUUGUAAACCGCUUUCGCCUGUGACGAAGCGUGAGUGACGGUAAUGGGUAAAGAAGCACCGGCUAACUACGUG
rnacentral:rRNA from 1 species